ensembl:miRNA
GUGCUCAUUUAAGGAGUCUGAUGCCUACUACUGAUGACAUACAAUGUAAGUGCUCAUUUAGGCAUCAGACUACCUAAAUGAGCAC